rnacentral:rRNA from 2 species
UACGACCAGGGCUACACACGUGCUACAAUGGCGCAUACAAAGAGAAGCGACCUCGCGAGAGCAAGCGGACCUCAUAAAGUGCGUCGUAGUCCGGAUUGGAGUCUGCAACUCGACUCCAUGAAGUCGGAAUCGCUAGUAAUCGUGGAUCAGAAUGCCACGGUGAAUACGUUCCCGGGCCUUGUACACACCGCCCGUCACACCAUGGGAGUGGGUUGCAAAAGAAGUAGGUAGCUUAACCUUCGGGAGGGCGCUUACCACUUUGUGAUUCAUGACUGGGGUGAAGUCGUAACAAGGUAACCGUAGGGGAACCUGCGGUUGGAUCACCUCCUUACCUUAAAGAAGC